UCUUAGGUGGUGCUGUCAUGGGCCAUGGCCCGGCGCGCUGCUGAUGCUACCGUCGCCAGCUCGCCUCGCCGGAUCCUGAUCCGACCUAAAAUCAGGGAUAGUUGCUCCUUUCGAUCCAUUCUCGGUGUUCCUUCGUUUCCUUGUUGGGUUAAUUCUUUUUCGCCUCCUUUCCUUGGGUACCCAAUUCUUCUUGUUGAUCCUCCAAACUGCUUAAGUAUAUGAACCGGUAGAAUCUUUAUCUUUACCUCUUUAUCUUUAUUUUUAUCUUUACCUAUACUAAUAAACCAGCGAUUUCUUCUGGCCGUACGUCGUCGGAUUUUUUUACAGAAAAGUCCUGCUGUUUCUGAGAAAUUAACCCGCAGUCCUUUCUUAAGUGAGAAAGACGUUUCGUUCAGAAAUUUUACAAAUAAAACCCUGUAGUUUCACGGAUUCAAUCUGCGGUCCUCUUUCUCCCUCGCUUCCCGAUCCCAGCCGCCAGGAGGCGCCCCACCCCGCACGAGCCUCGAUCCGGUGCCGCGAGCUAAAUGGGGGCGGGUGCGACGUCUUGCUCCCGUGGCGACGGCGUCCUGCUGAUCCAAAGAAAGAUGGAGCCAGGGCAUGAGGGAGAGAGGAAAGAGAGGAAGGAGAAGGGGCACAAGGUGAGGGAGGCGGUCGCCGGCGAUGGCAGCUCCGGUGACCGGCCGACGGGCAGGGAGGCGAGCUCCUGUUGAGGCGGCGGAGCUCGGUACGAGCUAGUUCGUCCGGAUCGAGCCUUGGCUUUCCCGAGGCGCGCGGUUGCGGGCUUGGAUCUGGGUGAUUCUUCUCCCCCGCCCUCCCUCCAUGGCCAACGACACGAGGUGCAGCGACCUCUUCCGCCCCCCGCCAUGGCUCCUCUCUAUCCCCCCACCAGCACCCUCCUCACCCCUUCCCCACUCCCGGCUGAUCCCCAAGGCUGCCCCCUCCCUCUCUCAUUUGAUCUGGUCUGGACGAUCACUGGACCGAGCUCGAUACCACACUGCCUGUCUUGGAUGGCCGGAACAUAUUGUUGGCCAUCUCACACUCUGGUUGCAGCAAUUGGAUGUGCCCUGUGAAACCUGCAACAUUUGAGCAUUGCAAGCGGCGGUAUGGCAGUCUGAAUCCUGACGUUCUUGGGAGUGCAGGAGAAGAACGGCUAUCUUGCUUUUCUAAAAUCAACAGGAGCUCGGUAUGGAAAAUGUUGGAUAUUCUCGAAGAAAUACUUGCGAUGAAGGGUAGCCAUUGUUUGCAUGCUUCCUCCCUGUGGUGCAUUUGGUUCCUAAGCCAUCCUCUCAAGCUCCCACUUCGAUAGUUGUGAUCCCUGGGUCUGCGAAGCCAGGUUUGCAGAAGAAAUUGGGGGGCUCAAGUCUGCAAUCAAGGGAGUCUGCAUGGUGGUCUCUGUUGUUUGAAGGCAAGGUGCUCGGGAAUGAGCCACUGGCUAAAUCGUUUGGUGAUCUCAAGGAUGUGUGCUCUGAUGUGGGAAACGUGGUCGACGACAAGCUCUGACUACUACAGGCUCCAACAAGUUAGAAUUAAUUUAGUUGUGGUUUUAUAUUGCAAAACACGGUGAAAUUAGAAUUUAUCCGGGUUUCUUUGUUUAGGUGGUGCUGUAGAAAUAGCAAUGUCGAUGCUACUGUCAAUUGUUUUCUUCAGUUCGUACGUGCUACUAAAGAUGCACUCGAUCUGCCUUUGCUCGGUUCCUGAAAAUUGCUACGUUGAUUUUGUUUUGAAUUUGCAAGCAUGUAGAUUAAAUCCAAAUGUCCAAUGAUAAGAAAAUAUUAACCUUUUAUCUAUAGAAGUGUACACCGAAAUAUCAGCGAUUUGCCAAGACUACAGAUUUUUGUUAUUAUUUUUGUUAAUCGCAUUAGAUAAUUACGGCUAUUUGGAUUAGUCUUCAAUCCUAAUGCUUUGAAAAUGAAAGCAAUAGUUCUAUAUACCUUCUAAUCACUGGGGUUCUUGUGUUAUCCUUCCUAGAAUUGUUUAUUAUCUUCAAUCUUUAUCUUCAUGCUUCUAUUCUGAACCAAUAAACUUGAACAGCUACAAGAAGCAUCUUUCCAUGGAGCUUAAAUACCUUUUCCAAUACAUAGUUAAUCAACCGACGAAAGGAUUGGGUAUUGAGCUUCUUGUACUUGAGGAUGCUAUGUCAGGAAGUGAAACGUUGUGGCUUCAAGGAGUGAAGUAAUUGGAUUGGGAUCAUGGAGUAAAUCAAACGAGGAUGCAACUCAUGUUCGUGUAGGUGAGACACUUAUUAACUCUGUAGCAAAUAGUUCACAUGGUACAGCUAGCUGUGGUGCAGAGGGUAGAUAGUUUUAGUACUCAGACUUGCAGAGGGUAUCACAUGGUACACAUGGUACAGCUAGCUGUGGUGCAGAGGGUAAAUAGUUUUAGUACUCUGCUGUCCUUUCGUAAUGGCAAUGUAGCAGCUGUGUGAUACGUUUGCAACACGGAGUCUUCACUGCAUAUUACAUACCGGAACCGAUAUGUGUUUGUCGACAUAAAAUUCUAACCUGAAUUUGCUAUUCAGGUGGCAAAUCCAAUAAUUUAUGUAGUGUAUUUGCAUUUUGCAAGAUAAUUUGGCUGCCAAAGUGCUACAUCAUAUCUCACUGGACCUAUUGAGUAAGUGGUAAUUUUUCAUUUAUAUAUCAUUCAAAUUUCUAUAUGCACUGUUCAUAGAUUCCUUGCAUUGUUCAGUUACCAAUUUUCGUAAGGGUCAUACUUAUUGGACCAUGGCACACCCUGCCAAUGCAGGUUGCUUCCAUGACUAUACUUCAAAUAGGGGUAUAUUAGUUUGUCUCUCAUCAUCAAACUUUGGACCCUCUUUACAUGGGCAUUUUUUUUCAAAGCGUACUCGUACAAAAUAAACUGUAUUGGUUUUCAGUUUAUAUCUGUCCAUGGUUAUGCUCACAUCACAAAUUUUGACAGCUAGACAGUUCCCGAGUUCAGUCCAACCGAAACACUGCAUUUAUCUUUCUCGAUGAGUAUGGCAGAAUCCAACAUCCAUUCAACCCUAAAUUGGGGCUCCAUGGCUACCAACCGAUGGAGCAAGAAUGGAGACCACCCUCUCCUCCUCCAAUUUGGAGCUCCACGGCCGCCAUUCAACAGGCGCUGCCGUCGUUGCCUCCUCACCGCCUCACCUGGGAGAGCACAGGCGCCAACAUCGCCCACGACCCGCCACAUGUUCGGUCAACAAGCUGUAGUUCAAUUAGGUCUGUUGCUCCUCUUACAUGCAGAGCCUUGGGAGAUCAUGGUCUUCUCUCAUUCUCUUGUGAACAAUAUAUGCACUGUAGGUAUGCGAAAAGAAAUAUUGUAUUGCUUGGAAAAAGAUAUGCGAAAUUAGCAGGCAUCAAUUUGGCCAUGUUUACAAGCUAUUAGAUGUGCAUUUUUAAGAUGCGGUAGUCAUACUUUGUACUGGAAUUUGACUAAUAAUUCUAUUGCUUAAUGCCUUUCUAUUCUUUCUCAUUUGAACCAUAAUGAAGAUGAUACGGUCAAAUUAUUUGA